UCGAAGCUAUUGCCAACCCGUCUGUGGAUUCAAUCAGCGUGGAGUUCAAGGAGUUAUAGCAAGAUUGGAGUCUACACUGUCGAAGUAGAUCUUUGCAGAGAUGUUCCCUCCUUGUCGCUGAUUUUAAGUUUUAGAAAAAAAGCUACCAAAGAUCAUAGAUUAUAGCAAUGCCUCGGAUUCGUAUCCGUUUGGGACAUUUUUACUAUCUGUUCUGAUGCCGAUGAGUAUCGUUAAAAAUUCUACAUGACGGCUAAGUGGACGAUGGAAUACAAAUGGUACUAACGCGGCGCCCAUAUGGAGUAAGUAGGAACUCUUUCCCUUGGAUAUUAAUGGAAUGGUGCCGUCUCUUCAUCUCUUUUUGUUCUGGGGUUUAGGGUUCUUCAUAGAAGUCGGUUGCUCUACAUCUCUCUUGGUUGCUCCACUAUAACUAGACAAAAUAUUGAUUGCUCCAUGGGAAGUAGCAAAAUUCAUGGCUAAAAAAUCACUUCCUGCCCGAUUUGUAGCUGAACUCUCUCUGCCACGAUUUAUGAUUUGGGGUCUAGAGUUCUUCCUUGAAUUCUUGAAACCUACGAUUGCUUCACAGAAGGAACUCGAUUCGAUUAUUCAAAGCCAUCAUAUUCUUGGCGUUCUCGAUUCAUCAACAACCUAACGAGUUUUUUUUUUUUCGGUUGAUAUGGGUGUACCUUGAUUUCCUUGUUAGGCUACUAUAGUGAUUCUGAAUUCCGACCUUGCUCUUUCCCGAUUCAUUUGGUGAUUCAUUUGGUGAUUCAUUUGGUGAUUGUUUCGAGAGUUGAACUUUUGAACUGAUUUGCAGCAUCUUUAGGCUUUAUCCUUCUGGUAUAAAAUGUAAGCUGUCAAAGACGUGGGCAGCAAAAAUAAAAUUAGGACUUCCUAGUUCCUAAUAUCUCAUGGUUUAAGUGAGUGGAGUGCAGCUAAGCAAACAAAAGGCUUUGAAUGAAUAUUUAAAUGCGAUCCCUAUUCAUUCUACUGUUUUUGAAAUGAAUUGUUCUACGUGAUAUUAACCACAUCUAAUUUUCUGGGAUUUGAUGUUUCUAGUGCAAUCUGUGUAUAGCUUAUUGAGUUUGGUGAAUUGAUACUUAUCUCUUAUGUAGAUUCACAUGAGCUUGCUCCAUGUUGUUACUUAAAGAUAGUUCUACCAUCAUAUAGUGACUAUAAACAUGGGUUUUUUUGCUAUUUUGUUGCAGAUGGAACGCCAUUUCUUAAUUUGACCUCACUUGGGUGGCUUUUUGGAGUUCGAAGAAAAUGUGAGUUAUAGCGGUAUGGUUGGACACUUCGUAUUAACCAUCCCAAUUCAGAGAUUGCUGAUAAGGUCAUAUGGAUAUCUUCUUCAGAUGUGGACUCCAUCAAAUUGUUCGGAGCUGGGAAACUGCUGCAUGUUCUUUGGAGGCUGUGCUCUCUGUUUUGGCCGGUCUAGGACCCUAUGUGGACUCAAUCAAUCCAAAACUGCUCUAUUUACAGCUGGUAUUCCUGAUGAUUGGCAGCAAGAGUUACCGGAUUUAUCUGCAAAGACUAAUGGAACAACGGCUUGUGAUAGCGAUCACUGUUGGCUGUGAUGAAUGUUCUGUGAUCACUAGAGUGGGUUGUAAUUUCCUCUUUUCUUCUGUUUCUCUGGACCAUACACCAACUUGGUUGCUAAUGGCCAGUUGGUUUUUACUGUUGUAAUGAUCCAAGUUCUAAAUGGAGAGAGGUUUUUAAGCCUCGCUUAAAGCAUACGACUGGAGAUGGUGG
rnacentral:lncRNA from 1 species